AUUGCUUUGCAGCUUAACAGUGGCAGCAACCCUGUGUGUGUUACAAGUGCUGUGAAUCUUCACACCACAGGUGAUGUAGGGGCCGCCGAGUCGCCUAACUCCAUAAGGCACCCGGAAUAUUCUUCCUGCUGGAGUUGUGUGGCAGUGGCCCAUCUGCCUGGCUUGUGUCCGUGGGGAGAAGGCUGUAGAGUUGGCAGAACAGGUGUUGCGCUUCUUGACUUUGGAAGAUAGAGGGUGGCUCUCUGGCUCCCUGAUCCUUUGUGAUCUAGAUGGGUCUUUUGAGCUUUUUGUCUGGAGCACGAUGGUUCUGCAACAAGAAGAUUAGUCUCUUCGGGAAAUGAAUCCGGCAGAGGAGGCAGUUCUGAAUCUCCAACAGGUAGGGUCUCUGGACCAUCUGGAAAAAUUCACUGUUGUAUUUCCACUUUCCAUCAGCCACCACCAGGAAGAGUCUCUCCUGGUUUGGCCUGGCUGGUGCUGGGACACAAGGCUUCUGAACCUCCGUUUCUGCCGUGGAAAGAAAGGGAUGGGAAGAGAGGUGAAGAAAGAAGGAAAAAAGUGUUUAGGUGCAACCUGUUACAAAGGGAAUAAAAUCGAGAGAAAAAGAAGAAAAAGUCAAAUGCAAUGUGAGAGAUGGGAAUGGACAAAAAUCCUGCCACUUCCAGGAUUCCGUCUGGAACUCUGAAGCUAGAGCAGUGGUAACCAUGGAUGAGGUUCAAAGCAUCCUCUUUAGGAGACAGACAAAUCAGGAUGAUGACAUUUGCCGGGCCCUAAGCUACUGGUGGCUGCACAGUGAUUCAUGGAUGUGUCCUCAGGAAGAGCCAUUUCAUCAUCUGGGGCUUCUAUAAAAUUUGAAGUUAAAAAAAUAAAACCGUGUGUGUGUGCGUGUGUGGGUGCGUGUGGCGACAAUCCUCUCUCUCUUCCUUAUUCCAGCAAGAACUGAGACACAAUUGUCAAACUUCUCUCCCCUGCAGUAUAGAUCACUUUGGAUUGUUUCCUUUUGAUAACAUUUUCUCCCUUUCAAAGGUCUCUUUAGUUUGAAGAUAGAAAAUGCACCUGUAACAUGUUGAGAGGGAGAGAGAGAACACUGUGAUUUUUUCCCUGACUUCUACACCCAUUGAAGAAUUUGUGUGAAGGUGGACGUCUGAGACCCCGCUGCAGGAACACAGAUAGGUGAAGUUUGGAUAGUUGCUUUUGCUGGAGAGCCAGGGGAUCACUUCACAGCACUAUGCUUGCAAGGCUAGCCCUCUGAGACUAUUGAUUUUCUCCUGGCUACUUCCCUCUUCUCCUAGUUAUAUGGAACUUUUAAGACAUGUUAGCAAGGCCAUGUUUUUACGUGAUGCAUUUUAUUGAUGAUAGAGUUAAAUUCUACGCGCAGGGCUUAUUCCUGACUACCGAGAGGUAAUUAAUGAUUGUCCAAUCUUGAGAAUUCGCUGUGGCUGCUCACCAAUGGAGUUCGGGGGAAAGGAGGCCAGAAGCCAGGCAACAGGACCCAUAGGCUGUCCAUCUGAAGUUUUCUAGCUAACAAGCCACCUGAAUGAAAAAGCAUCCCAGCCAGGGGAGAAAGGGACCCCAUCUAACCAGUGAACAAUGAGAUGAGAUAGUUCAUUAAUUUGUCUUGGCACUCUAUCAACACACUGCCGCCCAGAUUCAAUACAUGGGAUUUCCCUCCUCAAAAUAAUUCUUGCUCAAUGUUUAGACUUCUUUAGAUCUAUCUGAAGUUUCUGCUUGGAGACAUAAUUUCAUAUAUUUAAGCAAAAUCAACCACUGGGAACCGAUAACAUAAAAAG